CCCCUCUCAAGAUCUCAGCUGGAGAGUUUCCAGUACUCUACCAGUCUCGGCUGUUGGAGGGAGAGUCAAGCAGAGGCCUACCCAUUCCAUUCCUAGCUUGGGCAGUGGCUAGCGAGAGGAAGGCAGUCUUCUACAACU
rfam:Ornithorhynchus anatinus chromosome 1, whole genome shotgun sequence.